GGGUCAGUAGGUUCGUCGUGCCACCGGUACGUACUGGUCUCACUGAUUCCUCCUUCCUGAAGAACCGUAAUGCCAUUAAUUCGGUGUUGCGGGGAAACAGGACUGUUACUUUGAAAAAAUUAGAGUGUUUAAAGCAAGCUAACGCUUGAAUACAUUAGCAUGGAAUAAUGAAAUAGGACGAUCGAUCCUAUUUUGUUGGUUUCUAGGAUUGACGUA
rnacentral:rRNA from 1 species